UACGUAGGGAGCAAGCGUUGUUCGGAUUUACUGGGCGUAAAGGGCGCGUAGGCGGCAUAUUAAGUCAUCUGUGAAAUCUCCGAGCUUAACUCGGAACUGUCAGCUGAUACUGAUGUGCUAGAGUGCGGAAGGGGCAAUCGGAAUUCUUGGUGUAGCGGUGAAAUGCGUAGAUAUCAAGAGGAACACCUGAGGUGAAGACGGGUUGCUGGGCCGACACUGACGCUGACAGCGCGAAAGCCAGGGGAGCAAACGGG
rnacentral:rRNA from 1 species